rnacentral:sRNA from 1 species
GAGUGGGUGGACGUGGUCGUGGAUGACCUGCUGCCCAUCAAGGACGGGAAGCUAGUGUUCGUGCACUCUGCCGAAGGCAACGAGUUCUGGAGCGCCCUGCUUGAGAAGGCCUAUGCCAAGUGAGUAGCGGCUGAGGGGACAACUGCAGCUUCCAGCUCCCCCUAGGGGUGGGGGCUCCUGACUGUCUUCCCAGAGGGUCCUGCUUGAUGCCAGAGUGCUGACCUGGAGCUGCCCACAGGGUAAAUGGCAGCUACGAGGCCCUGUCAGGGGGCAGCACCUCGGAGGGCUUUGAGGACUUCACGGGCGGAGUCACCGAGUGGUACGAGUUGCGCAAGGCUCCCAGUGACCUCUACCAGAUCAUCCUCAAGGCGCUGGAGCGGGGCUCCCUGCUGGGCUGCUCCAUAGACAUCUCCAGCGUUCUAGACAUGGAGGCCAUUACCUUCAAGAAGUUGGUGAAGGGCCACGCCUACUCUGUGACCGGGGCCAAGCAGGUACUGCCCUGGGUGGGGCCUUCCCUGCAGGGCGUUUCCUGCCCCUGGCCUGUCCUUGCCUCUCUGGCACCUGACCAGGGCUGUGGAAGGUGCUGGCUCCUCCUUUCCCCUCCUGCAGCACCUUAUCUCUCUUCUGGGGACACCCAUCUGAGAUGCCUAUCAUGUCCUGCCCUGACUGACUAGUUCAUGUGUGCAGCUGCCUGCCUCCAGGAGGACAGGCUUCAUCUGGGUGCUGAGCAGGGCUUGGAGAGGAUGAGGGUAUGGGAGGCGGAGUGUUAAAGUGCGUGCAUGGGCCAGGUGCAGUGGCUCACACCUGUAAUCUCAACACUUUGGGAGGCUGAGGUGGGCAGAUCACCUGAGGUCAGGAGUUCGA